UACGUAGGGGGCAAGCGUUGUCCGGAAUCAUUGGGCGUAAAGAGCGUGUAGGCGGCCCGAUAAGUCCGCCGUGAAAGUCCAGGGCUCAACCCUGGAAUGCCGGUGGAAACUGUCGGGCUGGAGUCCGGGAGAGGUGAGUGGAAUUCCUAGUGUAGAGGUGAAAUUCGUAGAUAUUAGGAAGAACACCAGUGGCGAAGGCGACAUCCUGGACCGG
rnacentral:rRNA from 1 species